rfam:Myotis davidii contig146685, whole genome shotgun sequence.
AUUCCCUGGCAAUGGUCAAGGAGACACCUGAUUGGUGGUGUUGCUCUUAAAACAGUCAGGGGCAAGACACGUACUGUCCAAAGUUUAUCCUACCUUGAUGUCAGUGUUGGUGGCCAGAGCUGUUUCAUGCCUGGGGCACAUUA